AAAAAAAAAAAAUUAAUGACAUGACCGCAAAAAUUUUGUUUUACUUUCCCAAAUUCCCUGAUCCUUGCUCUGACGACUUGAACAUUUUUCUCUCUUUCUCUGCAACCUAAGGAAGAAGAAAUGACAACAGAUGGACACUUUAUUGAAGUUGUAUUGAUGAGAAUGUCAUGCUCUUGUCACUGUUUGGUAUGAGUUUUGGUUGUGCAAUUGCAGAAAAAGCAAAUUUUAUUGCCUUUAUGUAUCACUAGUUAAUUUUGGUGGGAGAAUUGGAGAUGGUUUCUUGCUUGAUAUUAUAGGUUUGAUGGUCAUAGUUUCUUGAAUUAAGAAAUGUCAUCUGAUCAAGGUUUGGAUGUGAGAUGAUUGGGAUGAAAGUCCGAAAUUGGGCAUGCAUGUAAUGGAUCAUAUAGGUUCUAGAGAAUGUGAUCUGGAGUUUGACUUGGAAAGUGGUGAGACUGAAUCCAGCAGUGAAGAAGAUGGAAGUGAAGAGUCUGGUUCCCAUGGUAAACAUUUCAAUAAAUUAUUGAAUAGGGGAAGAAGUGGAUACUUGUGUAUUGAAGGAUCAAUAACAGCUAAUGAUGUUGUAGAAAGCAAUAAGGUAUCAAAUAUGGAUGAGACUAGGAAUGUGAUAGAAGGAGGAAUUGAGAAGAGAAUGGUGGAUAAACAGAAAAUGAAAGGCUCUGAGAAGCAUCCCAAGCCACCUAGGCCUCCUACGGGUCCAUCAUUACAUGCAGCCGAUAUAGAGUUGGUUAAAGAAAUUUCAAAGCAUACUAGGUUGCGGCGUGCAAGGAGAGAAAGACUGAAAGCAUUGAAGAAUAUGAAAACUGAUAGAAGUCAUAGAACAUCAUCAGCAAAUAUCAACUUUUUGGCAAUAAUCAUCACAGCUAUCUUCUUCUUUGUGAUAAUCUUCCAAGGAGUUUUGGGUGCUCGUGUAUGAUUCAAGUGUUCCCAUGAUUCCAUAGUUUUGGGAUGCAAGUGAACCUCUAGCCAAGCUGAUCUAUGUUUCCUAGGCUUGCAGGUAUGAAUAAGGGCAAAGUACGUGCACAGAUACGAAGCGAACUCUUUUUUUAAAAUCAUAUAUAGUACUGCUGUUAUAUUCCAUCUUCAAUGUUGGAUUACCUCCAGUAUGACAGUAUGUGCAAUGAGGCAUCCAAGCCGUUAUAUUCAGUGUUAAAUGCUGGGUUGCCUCCAGUAUGUUCUCCUCGUCCUACUCGUACACAUAUUUUUCUCUCUCUCAAAAAUAAAAAUAUUCAAUGUUGUUUUCACCAAGCCAGUAAGCAGGUUCAGCUUUUUUACUCGUAAAAGCAUUCUGCACCUGGGUUCAUAAUCUACUCUUCCAAAUCGUAGAUGAAAGACAGCCUAGAGUUUUGUUGUUUAUGCAUCCUGCUCCAUCUUGCUUGGCUCCAUAUUAACUUUUGCAUCUGUAACAUCAUUUACUUGAUGAAUUAAAAGUACUUGUGCAUAUAUCAGCAAGGUUUAUUUCUAGUCUUGAUUUGAUCGAGUGUGUUAGGCAUGACAGGGGAGAGGGAUGCAGGGGGCCAGUGCCAACUGCCAAGUAAACACACACAGCUGCUACUAACUCAUAUGUCAUAUUGUUAGACAUACACGUACCUACGUAGAAGUUUCAAUAGAAGUAUGGCAGUGGUACUCAAACCGGCAGCCCAUCUUAUGAUCUCAGUUGCUGCAAAGCCUCCCCUUCAAAUUCGGUCAUUACUGUACACGGGAUGUGACGGGGAAAUUCUAGCUGGUGCUUCGUUGCAGUGCAUUGGAUCUGACUAGUGGGAGAAAGCUUUGGCAUCUCAAUCAGGACAUGUUCAGCUAGGCGGCUGGACACUCUUUCUUUUAGAUUAUGGGGGAACACUUUUCUUAGCCUUCACUUGGGAAAUGUCUCACUGUUGCAAAACAGAGUUGUACUAGAAAAUAACAUAACCUUCUAAAAUUCCAGGCCAAAACUAAAUUUAAAGUAUGCCCAAGAGCUCAUUCACAGGAAGGAAGCAAGUAAAAACAUUGUAAAUUGCAUACUUGAUCUAUUCAUGUGAAAAGGUUCGAGCAUUGAGAGUUUGAGACUGACUGUUCUGCUAUACAGCAAGAGCUGAAUCAAGCUAGUCGUUUUAAUACCUCUUUUCUGAGCCGAAUUUAUGAAGAUAUACUCAUGGAUCUGUUGUUCAUCACCAAUACUUGAAUUGUUCAUUUCAAAAACAUACCAAUAAGACAGCUCAUAUGUUGGCGCAUCAUGCAUUUGCUACUUGCCAGGAGGAUUGCUGGUCUAGUGUCCCUACUUUCAUUCAAGAUGUAAUAGGUUCAAAACUCUGUACUACUUGAUAUUUCCUAGU